rnacentral:siRNA from 1 species
GGUCCCGUAGCUCAGUUGGU